rnacentral:lncRNA from 1 species
GCUGCUCGUGCAAGAAAAAACCAAGCUUACUUAGGUGCUUAAUCAAUUGGAUCAUAUACAGUAUAUGACUGGUGACUGAAGCUCCUUUCUUUAUUUGAGCAUUGAAGAAAGCACAACCAUCUUGUGUCUCUCAACAUCGUUGGGAGUGCCAAAGGACUCAUUCAAUAUUUGAAGCAUGUCUUGUGGUUGAGCUUUCUGAAAUUUAUGGCUG